GUGGGACAUAUACUAAAAUUGGAAUGAUACAGAGGAGAUGAGCACAGAUGACAUGCAAAUUCUCGAAGCAUCCCGUAUUUUU
rnacentral:snRNA from 1 species